CACUGCCGAGAAAAGCCUCUAGAUAGAAAAUAGGUGCCCGUACCGCAAACCGACACAGGUAGUCAAGAUGAGAAUUCUAAGGUGAGCGAGCGAACUCUCGUUAAGGAACUCGGCAAAAUGACCCCGUAACUUCGGGAGAAGGGGUGCUCUUUAGGGUUAACGCCCAGAAGAGCCGCAGUGAAUAGGCCCAAGCGACUGUUUAUCAAAAACACAGGUCUCUGCUAAACCGUAAGGUGAUGUAUAGGGGCUGACGCCUGCCCGGUGCUGGAAGGUUAAGAGGAGUGGUUAGCUUCUGCGAAGCUACGAAUCGAAGCCCCAGUAAACGGCGGCCGUAACUAUAACGGUCCUAAGGUAGCGAAAUUCCUUGUCGGGUAAGUUCCGACCCGCACGAAAGGCGUAACGAUUUGGGCACUGUCUCAACGAGAGACUCGGUGAAAUCAUAGUACCUGUGAAGAUGCAGGUUACCCGCGACAGGACGGAAAGACCCCGUGGAGCUUUACUGUAGCCUGAUAUUGAAAUUCGGCACAGCUUGUACAGGAUAGGUAGGAGCCUUU
rnacentral:rRNA from 1 species